GCAAGAAAUUUCCCCAGUACUACACCAUUGCCCUAGUGCGAGGUACCAUCAUUUCCCAACAUGUCUUCACAGGUGAUUGGUAUCACUUUUUUAAAAGUUUUGAGUGUCUUUUUAACUCAUCCAGCCUUGUUCUAGGAACCCAGGAAUAUGCCUUAUACAGAGUCAGGACAUUGGUCCUUCUAGCUCAGCUCUCGGUCCACCAUAAAUUGCCCUUUGGAAGCACCCUUUGUUCCUUAUUUACUUAUUUUUUUAUUGCCAUGCUUGCUUUAAUAUGUGUAUUCUUAGCUGCCAUGGAUUGUUAUUUAUUUACAAAACAAAAGAGUUAUGUCCAAAGUGGAUCUUACUCAGAGUAAACCCACUGAAAUUAAUGGACAUGACUAACUUCGGUCCAAUAAUUUUAAAAGGUCUACUCUGAGUAGAAAUUGGUUGCCUACAGCCCAUUAUUUUUAAAAUAUUGUCUGCAGAUCAAGCUGUUAAUAAAGCCACAGGGAAACAGUUGGCAAUCUAUUUCUGAGCAAUUAAAACAAAUGAACUAUCCCACCCAUUUUAUUUCCAUUGUCCAGUUUCCAUCUCCUUUACCUCCCCUCCCACCUUGCUCCUGGCCUGCAAUUCCACAUUUUUCUAUUGCUACAUGCAGUUUUUCUCUUUUUAAAAUUGUUUCUAUUUCCUUUCUUUUCAGUUUUGCAAUUGGGGUGUUUGAACAAUUUCAGUUACCCAUGGCACUACUGUUUGGAGAAGACACCUAUAUAUUUGGGGACAACAAAAAGUCUCAGCAACUCUUGAGGACACACCAUAACAUCUGAGGUGCUUCCACAUGGCAGUUUAUUGUAGACUGGAUAUUGGUCAUAGGAUACUGGUGGGCAAAGAUAUCAGUUCUAAUUCUCUGAGUUUCUAAUUUUUCCGAUCUUAAAUGCAGUUCUCCACAUUUUCACAACAAUUUGCAUUAAAAAAAAAAA